ACUCAAAUGAAUAGACGGGGGCCCGCACAAGCGGCGGAGCAUGCGGAUUAAUUCGAUGCAACGCGAAGAACCUUACCUGGAUUUGACAUAUAGGGAAAACUGCUAGAGAUAGCAGGUCCGCAAGGGCUCUAUACAGGUGGUGCAUGGCUGUCGUCAGCUCGUGUCGUGAGAUGUUGGGUUAAGUCCCGCAACGAGCGCAACCCUCGUCCGAUGUUGCCAGCGGGUAAAGCCGGGGACUCAUCGGAGACUGCCGGGGUAACUCGGAGGAAGGUGGGGAUGAGGUCAAGUCAUCAUGCCCCUUAUGUCCAGGGCUUCACGCAUGCUACAAUGGCCGGUACAAAGGGCUGCGAAACCGCAAGGUGGAGCGAAUCCCAAAAAGCCGGUCUCAGUUCGGAUUGGGGUCUGCAACUCGACCCCAUGAAGUCGGAGUCGCUAGUAAUCGCAGAUCAGCAACGCUGCGGUGAAUACGUUCCCGGGCCUUGCACACACCGCCCGU
rnacentral:rRNA from 1 species